AGGCUUUUUCACAACUCCAAAUUCACAAAGAUUUGAACUUUGAGUGAUUCUUGAAAAGGGUAUUGCACAAACUUGAUUCUUAGGCUUUUUCAAUACUCCAAACUGACAAAGACUUGAACUUUGAGUGAUUCUUGAAAAGGGUAUCUCACAAACUUGAUUUUUAGGCUUUUUCACAACUCCAAAUUCACAAAGAUUUGAACUUUGAGUGAUUCUUGAAAAGGGUAUUGCACAAACUUGAUUCUUAGACUUUUUCAAAACUGUAAAUGGGGUAUUCUCAUAAAGGGGUUGGGAUUGAGAUAAAGGUGUAAUACA
rnacentral:lncRNA from 1 species